ACGGAGGGUGCAAGCGUUAAUCGGAAUUACUGGGCGUAAAGCGCACGCAGGCGGUUUGUUAAGUCAGAUGUGAAAUCCCCGGGCUCAACCUGGGAACUGCAUCUGAUACUGGCAAGCUUGAGUCUCGUAGAGGGGGGUAGAAUUCCAGGUGUAGCGGUGAAAUGCGUAGAGAUCUGGAGGAAUACCGGUGGCGAAGGCGGCCCCCUGGACGAAGACUGACGCUCAGGUGCGAAAGCGUGGGGAGCAAACAGGAUUAGAUACCCUGGUAGUCCACGCCGUAAACGAUGUCGACUUGGAGGUUGUGCCCUUGAGGCGUGGCUUCCGGAGCUAACGCGUUAAGUCGACCGCCUGGGGAGUACGGCCGCAAGGUUAAAACUCAAAUGAAUUGACGGGGGCCCGCACAAGCGGUGGAGCAUGUGGUUUAAUUCGAUGCAACGCGAAGAACCUUACCUGGUCUUGACAUCCACGGAAGUUUUCAGA
rnacentral:rRNA from 1 species